rnacentral:rRNA from 1 species
GACAGAGGAGCCAAGCGUUGUCCGGAUUGACUGGGCGUAAAGCGCACGCAGGCGGAUGCGCGCGUGGGGUGUGAAAUCUGGCCGCUUAACGGCCAGGCGCCAUCCCAUACGGGCGUGUCUGGAGGGCUGCAGAGGUCGAUGGAAUUGCCGGUGUAGUGGUGAAAUGCGUAGAGAUCGGCAGGAACAGCCCAGGGGGAAACCAGUCGACUGGGCC